rnacentral:snoRNA from 1 species
UCCCGAAAUGAUAACUGGAUGGAUUGAUCGGUGUUCAGUCCCUAUCUGUCUUUUAAAUUUUCGGAAGAUCAAAGAGGGAAUGCUUCUUACACGGUUCUGAGAUUAUUUGUUCUCUUAGCCGUUUACUUUCGCUCGACAUUU